GAUGAACGCUAGCGGCAGGCCUAAUACAUGCAAGUCGAGCGGCAAGUCGAGGAGUAAUCUGAGACCUAGAGCGGCGCACGGGUGCGUAACGCGUAUGCAACCUACCUUAUACUGGGGGAUAGCCCGGAGAAAUCUGGAUUAAUACCCCAUGGCACAUAUUGAUGGCAUCUGAGAUAUGUUAAAGAUUUAUUGGUAUAAGAUGGGCAUGCGUCUGAUUAGCUAGUUGGCGGUGUAACGGACCACCAAGGCGACGAUCAGUAGGGGUUCUGAGAGGAUGAUCCCCCAACUGGUACUGAGACACGGACCAGACUCCUACGGGAGCAGCAGUAGGGAUAUUGGGCAAUGGAGGAACUCUGACCCAGCCAUGCCGCGUGCAGGAAGACGGUCCUAAUGGAUUGGUAAAACUGC
rnacentral:rRNA from 1 species